CCUCAUUUUCAGUAGCUAUCUCAUAUCUUUAUAUCAUCCUCUAUGCAUGUGCCUGUAACCUAUGGAUCUAUGCAAUGCUGUUGCACUAUUUAUACUCCUGAAUAUAUCUGCUCACUGCAGACAACUGAGUGGGGGUGACUCCAACUCCAUAACCUUUCAUUUGACUAUAACGAUUCUAUAAACUCAGUAAACUCAAUAAAGAAAAAAUUACCCUUAGAUGAUGAAGGUACUAAUGGCUUCUUAUAUAUUACAGUUGAUCAUGCGCUAAAAUUGUUAUUCAUUAAAGAGAGAAAAAAGAGUUUCUUCAUGGC
rnacentral:lncRNA from 1 species